GGGGUGGUUUGCUUUUGAGAAUGGAGGCGAUAGCCCCCUUUGUCCCAUCUGUGCAGCCAGAAAGGGUUGAAGCCCCCUCCUACCUGGUGGGUCGCUCUCCAUCAGGUUGUGGAUGCCCGCAAGGUUCCUGGCCAGGCAAAACGCAGGCCACUGCAGAGUCAUGGUUCCAUCCUCAGCCUCAAUCCGUUCGGAGACGAUGGUGAAGGAACCGAAGGUGGGAAUUCGGACCCCCUGCGUGUAAAAGAGAAGGGAAGGGCCGAAGGGUUAAGGCUGGAGGAAGAGCUGAAGGUUGCCCUGUGCGGGGACUGUGCUUCGAGUCCUGCUGUGCCCUCUCCCACUGUUCAGAAGCCCAGGCCAGGCCAGGGCCGUGGGAGAGGAAGGAAGGCCAUGUUAGGAAGGAGCUGCCCGGUCCUCUCCCUUCCUCCCUUUGCCCUCCCACAACACAGCACAGCAGUCAAGGCAGAAGCAGCCUCGUGGAAGCCAGAGGUUUCCAGAGACGGGGGUCAGCCCCAGCACACCACACCACAUACCACAAGUCAUACCACGCAUGCGGGAGGCCCGCUGGUACUUGACAGGGAUUUGGGGGCUGAGUUCCCUGCUUGCAUUCUGUGGCCCAAGGCGAGGGGACUCCCCACCCCUCCAAGCAGACAAGCAGGAAGACUUGGCCGACCCACCUUGCGUAGCAGGAGCUGCUCCUGGACGUAGACGGCCACCGCAUCCCAGACGGCAACUCGCUCUGGAGGGCAGAGGAAAAGCGGGUCACACUCUGCUUCUGCCGCUUCCCGGCGCUCCUACUGCCUCGCAGCGGGAGGGAGGUGGCAGAUGGAAAGUGUCCUCACUGUCCCCAGCCCCAAAGGGAGACAGCCCUGACAUGGUCCCCGUGCUGGCUCUCCCGCUCAGUGCCAGGACUUGCUGGCAGCUCUGCUCCUGUGCUGCCAGUGGACCCGCGUACCUUUGGCGGUGACCUCUGGCAUUUUGUAGUCACGCUGUGUCGCGGGGCCAUCCUCCCAGAAUUGGAUCUUGGCCCGCUUCACCGCAGCAGGAC
ensembl:lncRNA